UACGGGGGGAGCAAGCGUUGUUCGGAUUUACUGGGCGUAAAGGGCGCGUAGGCGGCCACCGCAAGUCGACUGUGAAAUCUCCGGGCUUAACCCGGAAAGGUCAGCCGAAACUGCGGGGCUAGAGUGCAGAAGGGGCAACUGGGAUUCUCGGUGUAGCGGUGAAAUGCGUAGAUAUCGAGAGGAACACCUGCGGCGAAGGCGGGUUGCUGGGCUGACACUGACGCUGAAGCGCGAAAGCGUGGGGAGCGAACAGG
rnacentral:rRNA from 1 species